rnacentral:rRNA from 1 species
AGCAGCCGCGGUAAUUCCAGCUCCAAUAGCGUAUAUUAAAGUUGUUGCAGUUAAAAGCUCGUAGUUGAAUUUCGGGAUCAAUAUUUCGGUCAUGCCGUUGGUAUGCACUGUUAUCAUUGAUUUCUCACCUUCUAAAGAACCGUAAUGCCAUUAAUUUGGUGUUACGGGGAAUUAGGACUGUUACCUUGAAAAAUUAGAGUGUUUAAAGCAGGCUCACGCUUGAAUACAUUAGCAUGGAAUAAUGAAAUAGGACAUCCGAUUCUAUUUGUUGGUUUCUAGGAUCGAUGCAAUGAUUAAUAGGGAUAGUUGGGGCAUUAGUAUUCAAUUGUCAGAGGUGAAAUUCUUGGAUUUAUUGAAGACUAACUACUGCGAAAGCAUUUGCCAAGGAUGUUUUCAUUAAUCAAGAACGAAAGUUAGGGAUCGAAGACGAUCAGAUACCGUCGUAGUCUUAACCAUAAACUAUAGCGACUAGGGAUCGGAUGAUGUUAAUUUUAAUGACUCAUUC